rnacentral:lncRNA from 1 species
CGCACGGGUACUUUAAACAAUUUUCGUCUGACUUCCUGAAGACCAGUGGCAUGGGCAGAUAUACAGUAACGUUCUUGAUAUUCUUGUUCUGCUUUGCUGUGUACCGCUGCAGCGCUGGAGCAGGUUUCAUGAAUUCAAGAGUUUCUGCGUGCGAAAACUAUAGCUGUGACUCCAAUGGCGGAGGCUGCCCAUCUGGCUGCGAGUGCAAUGGGCCGUGGACGCGCGAUGGACAAAAAUGUUCAACAAAAUACUGAGGCAACUAUACGUGAAACGAAAUAAUAUUUAAACAAGCAAUCAAAAAGCAACUAUUGGUAACUAGGAGAUUGUAUUUUUCUAGACUUGCCAGGAUAGC